rnacentral:rRNA from 1 species
GGUCACGGCCACAGGCGCCGGGGAUAACGCCCGGUCCCAUUCCGAACCCGGAAGCUAAGCCCGGCGCCGCCGUCGGGAGUAGUAGGGUGCGGGAGCCCCUGCGAAACCGCGGUGCUGUGGCCC